UCACAGGAAGAAUCUCAAAUAUGGGAGGAAGUGAACAUACCUUGGUUGUCUUAGGAGGGAAAAAAAAAGAGUCAGAGUCACAGUGUCACAAUGAUUAAAGAAAAAGUUGGGGCUGGCAGCAGCCGACACCCUUUCUAUUGGUGAAAGACUUCUGUAGAGAAUGUGGCCAAAGAGACACCUAGGCUCAUAAAGGCCAGAAUUCUGACUCCAUGUUCUAUGAGGUCACAAGAGCUAAUUCUCCAGCAUAGCUGAAAGUUCCAAUGUCAAGUUCUCUGGGGACACAGAAUACUAGAGUGCUGCAGACAUGGAGCUCUGCCCUUCCUCCAGCCCCAGCCUGCGCACCUUAGCUCUGGCUGCCCCUUCUGUGCAUCAGCUGGAAUUCCCCAGGAGGUAGAGGAGGUUUUGCACAGGGGAAGGCCGUCAAUCACCGGAACUGGGAGGGUAGGACCGUGCUGAGAGGGGAACCCAAGUUCUCAUUCAGGGUGGAGCAACAGCUAAGUCCUGACCAACCUGAGGCAGGCUCGACCUGAUGAAGGGACAGCUCAUCGGGAUCCCUUGUAGUAGCUGGCUCCCCUACAGUCUGGAAUGCCUCAGGGCCAACGUGGGAUCAAGCAGGAAAAGGAAACUGCUGGAUUAACUGUGCCAAACUCAAAUCACUAUGUUCAGUGAAUUACAAGGAGCCAAAGGAAAUGAUGAGGGUAGAUAAGAGACUAAGGUGAGCAUGUGACGAGCGACUACUUGGAGCCAAACAUUUAUGUCCUCCUGAGUCAACUUGUGAAGCUACACACAUGAGACAGUGUGGGUAUGCUGCAUAAUCAGGUUCUUCCUUGAAGACCACUCAUCUCGCUGGUUGAUUCUUGAUGAGGCAGGUGGCAGGAGCUUGGCUUGUUUGAACCCUUCAGGGUCAGAAGUGGAGCAAGAAGACUAGGUAAGUGGAAAGAGGCAAGCCAGAGUAGAGCGCAGACCAGAAAAGCCAGAGUACACCAAGCUGAGGGCAUGACUGGCCCUCUCUUAGAGGGACAUGCACCUGACUAUUACAGAGAAAGACCCCUGAACAUCUCUUCCACCCAAUUCACCUUCCAGGUUCUCAGAUACUGAGCUAUAAUCACCAACGUUCCUGCAACCUGCUAUUGAUUUCCAAGGUACAUCACUGGCCACAGGCCCCUCCACACAAUAUGAAUGUCCUUUAGCAAUGUGACCCUUGGCACACUGGCCAACUCAAAGGAGCAGCUGCCAUUUCUGCACUUCUAAAACAAGACUGGCUGCGUUAUGGUGAAGGCAUAUGAUGCCUUAUCUGCCCCAGAUCUUGGUGUUGAACUUCUAAAGUCCUGGGACUAAGUGAUGGGCUAUCUCCUAGCCAGGGUUCCUUGGGCUGCCUGUUAGCCAGGGUUCCUUUAACCACAUUUCCAUUCUGCUAAUGGGAUUGGGAUGGGGCCUGGUCAGACCUGGUUGGAAGGUGUGGGCUCUGAGCUCAAACCAAGAAGACUAACAAAAGUUGUGCUCCCUGGUUGGUGAGUAUGUGUCAGGAGGGUGGAUGCCAGGUUCCAUGGGGGCAAUAGGGACAAUGGGGACGUGGGGAAAGGGUGCACACAAGCUUCACAGGUGGGACUGCCCAGAUCUCGCCUUAUGAGCCUCACUUUUUGUCCUUUAUAAUACGACUGCAGUUGUCUGAACAGGACCCUUCUUGAGAUCUUCUGAGUUCUAGUAAGUUAUCAAACAGGAUGGGGGGUUUGUGGGGACUCCCAAAUUUAUAGCUAGUAUAAAUAGCUUACUGUCUUCUCCUCCUUCAUGACUACCACCUAGAGUGUGGCCAGUGUUCUCAGGAAAUGUGUGUAUGUGUGUGUGUG
rnacentral:sRNA from 1 species